rnacentral:rRNA from 1 species
CAGUCGCGCGGUAAUACGAAGGGGGCUAGCGUUGCUCGGAAUGACUGGGCGUAAAGGGCGCGUAGGCGGUUUAUCUAGUUAGGUGUGAAAUUCCUGGGCUCAACCUGGGGGCUGCAUCUAAUACUGGUAGACUUGAGUUCGGAAGAGGGUCGUGGAAUUCCCAGUGUAGAGGUGAAAUCCGUAGAUAUUGGGAAGAACACCGGUGGCGAAGGCGGCGACAUGGUCCGAUACUGACGCUGAGGCGCGAAAGCGUGGGGAGCAAACAGGAUUAGAUACCCCUGUAGUCCCUGUCUCUUAUACC